GAAAAAAGUUAUCCAAAAUGAAACAACAGUAUAGGAUGAUUAACAAGAUUAACAUAUUAGUCAAUAUAAAAUUCCACUGCUAUAUUGCCAUAGCUAUGGAACUGUUGUGAUAUGUUCAUUCUACUAAAUCCUAAUAUUUAAAAAAAAAAAAAAGAAAAAUGACCUCCAGUACAUAUAGAAAAUUGGUUGCUUUAGUAUGCAUUAACUAAUUUUGAAGAAAUAGCAAAGAAAUGUUCAAACUUUCUUUGUUUUAUUAAAACAAUGCUGUAUUGUGUUAGACUAUUGAAAAACAAAACGAAUAGGGACCUGUAUUCUUUGAACUGAUGAGCUUCUUGAAAAUAGAAUAAAUAACCCUGGCAUUGGACUUUUAAUAUGGUAUUGUUUAAAGGAGCACUUUUGGCUAGCAAAAUUAGAAAGGAUUUUUUAUUUUUUCAUCCUCUAUAUAUGCUGUUCCUUUCUCCAGAAGACAAGCCAAUGGUAUGUGAAAGAGCUUUAAAUUUUUCACUCAAAAUAAUCACGUAGAGAUAAAAAAGAACCGACCUUCUAUUAUAUCACCGGUCUAAGAGAAACGUGCGUUUUAACUUCACCCUCAACAGAGUAAGCUCUUGUGGCCUUAGUGCUUAUCAUGCAUUUUCAGUAGGGAAAGAAAAUCACAAUGAAGAACAAAACAUUUUCAACUUUUAAAAACUAAAAGAGGGAAAAUUUAAGGCAGAACUAAAUUAAGUAGCAAUAAAUUAGGGCUGGUUUAGUUGGUGGUUUCCAAUAAGCUCUACAGCCACUUCCUUCACCAAGUACAUGAGUGUUGCUUCAGCAAUCAUUCCUUUAAUUCAUGUCCUUUCUCUCUCUAGAAAAACUCAUAUAUUCAUUAUCCUAGGAGUAUCAGGUUUGCAAAGCUGGACCAAACUAAAGACUCUUCGAGGUGCACUUUGGCUUCUUAAAAGAGCUACCAAGAUUUUGGCUGAGGCAUGUGACUUAAAACUCAGCAGGUAUGAUUGGCAAGCUAUCCUGUGAAACUUGUAAUCAAUCACCAUCGGUUUUAGUGAAUUGUAUUAUCUUUGUUCUUGUAAACACUUUCUUUCAAGUUAUCAUUGCUUGUGAUUGAAUCAUGAGCUCUUAGAUUUCUAAGGGAACAGAAAACCUAUGAAACAUUUGAAGCACUUUUGAAAAGAAACUUCGUGGCCAGAAACUCACCAAAACCUGAGGAAAUCUUUUUUAUUUUGAAAUAAAAGAAU
rnacentral:lncRNA from 1 species